ACGUACGCUGGCGGCACGCCUAACACAUGCAAGUCGAACGAAGUAGCAAUACUUAGUGGCAGACGGGUGAGUAACAUGUAGGUAUCUGCCCUUUGGCCUGGAAUAACACGAGGAAACUUGUGCUAAUACCGGAUAAGUCUUUACGGAGAAAGCUUUAUGCACCAUUGGAUGAGCCUGCACUUGAUUAGUUUGUUGGUGGGGUAAUGGCCUACCAAGACUGUGAUCAAUAGCUGAUUUGAGAGGAUGAUCAGCCACAUUGGGAGUGAGACACGGCCCAAACUCCUACGGGAGGCAGCAGUGGGGAAUCUUGCACAAUGGAGGAAACUCUGAUGCAGCGAUGCCGCGUGAGUGAAGAAGGCCUUUGGGUUGUAAAGCUCUUUCGUCGGGGAAGAAAAUGACUGUACCCGAAUAAGAAGGUCCGGCUAACUUCGUGCCAGCAGCCGCGGUAAUACGAAGGGACCUAGCGUAGUUCGGAAUUACUGGGCUUAAAGAGUUCGUAGGUGGUUGAAAAAGUUAGUGGUGA
rnacentral:rRNA from 1 species